UACGUAGGGUGCGAGCGUUAAUCGGAAUUACUGGGCGUAAAGUGUGCGCAGGCGGCUUCGCAAGUCGAGUGUGAAAUCCCGACGCUUAACUUGGGAAUUGCGCUCGAAACUACGGAGCUGGAGUGUGGCAGAGGAAGGUGGAAUUCCACGUGUAGCGGUGAAAUGCGUAGAGAUGUGGAGGAACACCGAUGGCGAAGGCAGCCUUCUGGGCCAACACUGACGCUCAUGCACGAAAGCGUGGGGAGCAAACAGG
rnacentral:rRNA from 1 species